GUGCCUAACACAUGCAAGUCGAACGCGAAAGCCUCCUUCGGGGGGCGAGUAGAGUGGCGACCGGGUGAGUAACGCGUGGGUGAUCUACCUUUGGGUGGGGAAUAGCCGUGGGAAACCGCGGCUAAUACCGCAUAAGAUCAUUGAUUUACGGAUCAAUGAUGAAAGCGGGGGAUCUUUUCGGAGACCUCGCGCCCGAAGAGGGGCCCGCGUCUGAUUAGCUAGUCGGCGGGGUAAUGGCCCACCGAGGCAGUGAUCAGUAGCUGGUCUGAGAGGACGGCCAGCCACAUUGGCACUGACACACGGGCCAAACUCCUACGGGAGGCAGCAGUGGGGAAUUUUGGGCAAUGGGCGCAAGCCUGACCCAGCAACGCCGCGUGAGCGAUGAAGUCCUUCGGGAUGUAAAGCUCGGAAGCCGGGGACGAAGUAGGCAGGAUUAAUAGCCCUGCCUGUUGACGGUACCCGGUCUAAGCCCCGGCUAACUACGUGCCAGCAGCCGCGGUAAUACGUAGGGGGCAAGCGUUGUUCGGAAUUACUGGGCGUAAAGGGCGCGUAGGCGGCCAUUCAAGUCAGCCGUGAAAGGCCUGGGCUCAACCUGGGAAUUGCGGUUGGGACUGAGUGGCUAGAGAGCGGGAGAGGAUGGUGGAAUUCCCAGUGUAGAGGUGAAAUUCGUAGAUAUUGGGAAGAACACCGGUGGCGAAGGCGGCCAUCUGGACCGUAUCUGACGCUGAGGCGCGAAAGCGUGGGGAGCAAACAGGAUUAGGUACCCUGGUAGUCCACGCUGUAAACGAUGAGUGCUGGACGUUGGUGGGCUUGCCUGCCGGUGUCGCAGCUAACGCGUUAAGCACUCCGCCUGGGGAGUACGGCCGCAAGGUUGAAACUCAAAGGAAUUGACGGGGGCCCGCACAAGCGGUGGAGCAUGUGGUUUAAUUCGACGCAACGCGCAGAACCUUACCAGCCCUUGACAUGCCGUGCGAACCGCAGAGAUGCGGUGUUCCUUUCGGGGACGCGGACACAGGUGCUGCAUGGCUGUCGUCAGCUCGUGUCGUGAGAUGUUGGGUUAAGUCCCGCAACGAGCGCAACCCUCGUCUCCAGUUGCCAUCGGGUUAAGCCGGGCACUUUGGAGAAACUGCCGGUGACAAGCCGGAGGAAGGUGGGGAUGACGUCAAGUCCUCAUGGCCCCUACGGGCUGGGCUACACACGUGCUACAAUGGCGGUGACAGAGGGGAGCGAGGCAGCAAUGCCAAGCCGAUCUCAAAAAGCCGUCUCAGUUCGGAUUGCGCUCUGCAACCCGGGCGCAUGAAGGUGGAUCGCUAGUAAUCCGGAUCAGCAUGCCGCGGUGAUACGUUCCCGGCAUUGACACACCGC
rnacentral:rRNA from 1 species